UCUGUGUGUGCUAAUACAGCUUCGGUGCUAACUCUGUGAGGGGACUUGCUAGGUCAUUUUCUUCCUCCCACCUUCAGCUGUGAGGUGGGAACGUGGGAACAGGGUCUCUAACGCUAUGAUUCCCAGCUGCCCCUGGCCUCACUCAAACUCCGAAUUACUGUGCUAGGAAAACGCAGUGAUGUGCUCCCAGCUGAGUGGAUGAAGAGACAGCCUGAUCGACAUCAAUGUGGUCUCCCAGCUUCGCAGCUGAAGCCACCCCCAAAGCUAGUCCAGCAAAUUACUUGUGCCAGCCAGAGGUAGCUGUAACUGAUCAAAGGCCAGAGUUGCAGGAAUGCAUACCUGCGAGCUUUGAGGUGGAACACGGAGUCUUUGUUGCCAAUGUUUCGGACCAGCAGAAUCUUCUGGGUGCUGUAUUUCACAGGACAAGUGGAAAAAUUCAGCUCGUCAGGGAAGUCCAGAAUGGCUCGAGCACCUCUGGCUUUGACGGGCACAACAAACUUUUCUCUUUCAGUAAUACAGGUCAACAUGUGGGCAUAAUCCUGCCAGGAAAGGAUAUAAUCAUUACUUGUGGGGACCCCAACAUGGUCAAGCUCACUGUAAAAGGGAAAAUAGGGAUUUAUGGCAGGCAUUGUGCAAAACAACUCAGUGUUCCUCUCCAGACUUCUCAGGACAAGUAGCGAGGUGCUUCCCCUGACAGUCUUCUUGCUGAGAGGGGGAAGGGCAGAUCAAGUGUCAAAACCUACAAACCAGUAGAGAAGCUUGAAGUUCGUGUUUCUCAGAUGGUUGGGAGGAGGGUGGGAAUGAUGACAGUCAGGGUACAGUAUUCUUUAGAUUAAAAGACUGCUGUUAGACCCUCGUGCCCUCCUUCUACAGGAAGUGUGCAGACUUUUGGCAUUUUUAGACACUGGGGUCUAAAACUGUGUUGGGGUCCAUUCGUAGUGUUGUAGAACACGGUCUUCCGUGCAGAACAGAUAGUAUAGUCGUGGGAUCAGUAGCACCAUCAAGCUGGUUGGCUGCCGAUCUGCUGUUGUAGGAGGAGGAGCUGGAGAAAGACACUGAACCUCAUCUGAGAUUCCAGCUGCUCCUCCCAGACAUCCUGUCCUAACUGCAUGUGGCCUGUGGCUUGAGAGGUCACUCAGAAAAGACUAGAGUAUGUAGGUUAAGUAAGAUUUAACAGAAGGGAAAGCCAUCAUUCAUGGUGGACAACAUCAUUCUUCAGAGUUACCUAUGCUCCUGUAGGCAACCCAUCUUGAAAGACCCACUGGUUUCUCGGGUUAUCUUUGGUGAGAUUAUAUAUUUGUUGUUGGGAUCUUAAAUGGAUGGGAUAGACUUUGUUUAUGUCUCCCCAGAGAAGGACAUUCCCCAACACAUCAUUAUUCUGGGAUAUGAGGGCCGCUGGCUACAGUUUGCACACACUGGUAUCUAAACCCUGUUUAUUCUUCUGCCUCGUGUUUAGACGGAUGAUGCUGACGAAUGGUCGCCCCGCAUCCCUACUUUCUGCAGUAUGGCUUUGCACUCCUCCCUCAGGAGUGAAGGGUAUGGCUUCACCUCUCACUCUGAACAAUAUAAAGCAGCAUGCGCUUCGCUAGUUUUAAGCCGAAGCUUUCAGAAGUUUUGAUACUGCGAGUUCUGCUCUUGUGACCCUGCCACUGUCAUGUGACAAGUCUGGUCUAAGUUACUGCAGGAUGAGAGCCUAGAGCUCGCACCUGGGGACAAACUAAACUAGCCUCAGUGAUCUGCAGAUCUGUGAGGGAGCUCAGCCAUGGUGAGCAAAGAUGGUGCCCGGUGCACAAGGUUGCCUGGUCAAGAUCAGAACAGCCCUGCUGAAUCAUAGUGUUGUGAGCAAUGCUUACUCUUUCAGCUGCUACAUUUUGGAGUACAUUGUUGUUACACGGCAACAGCUAACUGAUACACAGCCCAAUUUCGAUGUCUUUUCUUAUACAAAGUCAUUUGACCAAUUUGUACAAAAUACCCAAACCCCAGGCAUGUAUCUUUCUCAAUUUUGAGUCUAAAUACAACUGGAAUACCGAGUAAAAACACACUUUGUCAUCUCAUUAAAUAGAAAUAUAACUCUCACCAGCACCACAACAAAGAAAAAGUUAAAUGAGCCUCUGGUGAUAAGCAGGUUAAGUACAUGGAGAAAACAUGAAUGUUCCCCUCAAGAGCUGGGUGGGAGCUCAGAAGUCAGCAUCAGAAGCAUGUGUUAUCUAACAGUUUUUACAUUACGAUGGUGUGUUUUAGCUGCUAGGCAGUCUUGAGCAACGGAAAGUUGUUGGAGGUCAAAUGCCUUACGGCAGUCAUAUAGUAAAUGGUGCUCAGUGUCGAAGUGGAUGGCCCGAGGACAUGAGGCACGAGAAGCAACCUUUCCGUCUAAGGACUACUGUGCCUUGACUUUCAUCAUCCCCCCCAACCUCAUUUUCCAACCGUCUGAGAAACAUGAACUCCAAGCUUCUCUACUGGUUUAUAGGUUUUGACACUUGACCAGGCCCUCGCCUCUCAAUAGAAAGGAUGUCAGGAAGAACUCCUCACUAUUUGUCCUGAGAAGUCUGUAGAGGAACAUGCUGAGUUGUUCUGCACAAUGCCUGCCAGAACCCCUAUUUUUCCUUUUACAGUCGUCUGUAAAAGGAGCUUCUUGAUUUUAGUCUUGUUUUUUCUUUUCAACAAGUCUCUUUGGGCUUUGGGGACAGAGUAGGGAUGGGAAUGUCCAGCAUACAGAUUGACGCAGAUCAGCCGUGCUGUGGACUUCAUGAUGCCACAGGGCAGGGAGGAAGCUGUGGGAUUCCCCGUUAGUCUAGUCAUUCUGGUGAGGGUGCAUGUGCCUGGCAAAGUACUGGCUAGGAACAGACGUGGUUACAAUCUCUUCCCUUUACAUGAGGAUGAAAAAGAAAAUGGGUACACGAAUAAUGUCUAUGGACAUUAUUUCAUAAUGUAUAUGCAAUACAAUGCCGUCCACUGUGUAAAUGCAUUAAUAAACAUAAGGGCAAAAUAACCAGCGUAUAAACCCGUGGUUCUCUCUGUACCCUCCAACCCCCAGCCCCACACCCAGCUUCCCAGCAGGCACCUCUCUGGAUGGAAAUACAUCGUGUCCCACACCAAACCCCCUGAUUAACGCUACAGCAUACAACACCAGGUAAAAUCCCCUGCCAAUGGGCAGGAGUGAGAGUUGAGAGCAGGAGUUGACACCCAAACCACUCUUCUUGGACCUGACAGAAUCAGCCCGGGCUGCGGACUUUUUCUUAGUCCCUAUGAAGACCCCACAAAGCCAGCUGAGAUCCAGCUCCUGAUCAGUACACCCCAACCCAGUUCCAAGACAUCCUCUCAGGUUUGUUGCUGAUGUCUCCAUCAUUUGAGUGACCUUGAACAGGCUAACACAUUCUAGAUCCACCCCCCCUCCCCGCUUUAUUUUCUUGGUGCUUUUGAGAACCUACCUACAUUCAAGAGAUAUCCUGAGUGCAGCUACUUCCUGCCACCCUGAUCCUAGCACGGCAGUUUCUCCUGGGCUAUUGAGACCCUCCUCAUUCAAAGUCCAUUUCCAUCCAGUUAAGGUGGAAGUGAGCUCAGGCCGUGCCUCUGCUCAAAGUCAUCCUGGUUGAGGACUCCAUAGUGAGGCCUCUGUCUUCUCCCCAGCCACAUCUCCUGUCCUGCUCGCUCUUCCAUGCAGCUACCAUCUCCCAGAGCCGCUCCGAGCCUUCACACUCGAUACUUGCUCCUCACACCUCGCUGUCCUCAGGUUACUCCAGGUGCUUCUGCCUUCAUUUCUCUCACAGAGACCUCAUUGUCUACUCCAUCUACGCUUAGCCCUUCCACGUCACUGACUUCUAGGCAUCCCACACUACACCACAGUCCAGGCUUAUCCAACAUCUGAUGAACGUUUGAAAUCAGUGAUGCAACACUAGAUAGUAGUGAAUGAAAAAUAAGUAAAUAAAAUGAUCAAAGGACAGGAUACUGGGGAGGGGCCAGGAAGGACCUCUACAAAGAGAAAGCAUGCUAGCCAGAGUGGCCAGAGUGAGGAAUGAAGAAGCUAUAUGGCUGGAUGACUUUCUGGGGAAGUAUGACUCAGAGCUUGUGGCCAGAGGAAAACACGGCAGGAGGGAUAGAGAACCCAGGAGAGGCAGGGGCGGUCAGGGUGGUCACAGAGCAUCUUUUAAACCAGCGGCAGGACCUGAGGAUGGCAGGAAGCAUUAACAGUGUGGACAGCUGAUCCCCCACCCAACCCAAUUUAUAGCUUAGGGAAAGCACUGGUAACCACACGGGCAGUGGUAGAGAAAGACAGGCCAGCUAGGAGGUCACCCCAGUAGUCCCAGGCAAGAGAUGAUACUGAUCUAAACGUUAGCUAAUGUGCUCGCUUCGCCAAAUGUCUGCCAAGGAGGAAGUUCUCAAUGAGUAUGGCCUGUCACCAUUAAUCUCACAUGUUAAAAACAGUGCUGGGUGGAAGCCAUUCAGCGAACGGUCUGCAUGUGUUUCCUUGUGUUGUUGAGGUGAUGAUAAGGGCACUCACUGAAAAUGAUACCAGGAUGAGGACAAGGUAAGUCAGGGCACAGUGAGGGCUUUGAGAAAAUGGAGUAUCAUCAAGAGCUGCCGUAGUUUGAAUGAAAACGUCUCCCACAGUCUCAGGCAUGUGGACACUUGGUCCCAAAGUUGGCAGUGGUAUCGGAGAUGCUUAGAUGGUGUGGCUUUGCUGGAAGAAGUAUGUCACUGAGGGUGGGACUGGAGGUGUCACAUCCUCACCCUAUUCUUAGUUUGCUUUCUCUGUAUUGUGUUUGCCAUCUAAGAUGCGAGCUCCCAGCUUUCUACCCCAGUGGCCAGGCUCGUCUGCUGCCAUGCCUCCCUGAUAUGAUUGUGAUGGGCUCUCACCCCUCUGGACCAAUACUCCCAAAUAAACCUUCAUGCUGUAAGUGCCCUUCAUGGUAUUUUAUCAUGAUAGAAAAGUGACUAAUACCACAGAAAUGCUGUGUGGUAAGGGGCUGGUUAGUCUUCAAGAACCAAGCAAGCUUCCUGGUGGAAAUGACCUUUGAUGGAGAUCUGGACCACAAAAUGAGCUAUCCAGAAGAGAGCCAGGGACAGAGUGUUCCUGGCAAGGGGGACCAUGAACAUAAAGUCUUCAGAUGGCAAUGCCAAGCUUGGGAAUGAUGACAUCCGGACAUAAGGAAGUACAAAUUAUAGUGAAAUAUCUGGUCUUAGGAAGCCCCAUAAAAUUUAAUCACACAACUGUUUAGUCAGAUGACAGCAGCAUCUUAAAGAGGUAUCCAUAACAAUAAUAAAACCACUGACAAAAACCCAGACAACUACCAUCAACAACAAAAUACCAUCACCAGUUCUACUACCAAAAUAUCAAGACCCACCAAAUAAAUGUGACCCUCACCACCACCACCACCACAGCCCACUCCUAAUACCACCAACACUGCCACGAACACUAGGCAGUCCUGUGAGUUGAACUACGAAGUGCUUGGCAUACAUACUCUUUUUCUUUGGCCAGUGUUGUCAUUACCUUGUUCUCCUCUGGAGUGAAGAGGAUUCGGAAUAUAGACGGCACUCCCGGAGCCACCUUGUGACCGAUGUCUUUGGGGCUGAUGAUUUUAAAGUAGGAGCAUCAUGGUGACCAGGGAGAAGAUGGCUCAGGUCUCAAGAGUACAUGCUCAGACACCAGCUCCCAUGUUGAGUGCUUCAUAAUUGACCGUAACUCCAGAAUCAGGGGCAUCCGACACCUCUGGUCUCCAUGGUCUUCCUGUAUGUCAGGAAGGAGAGAAGAGAGCUUGUAUCUGCCUCUCAGCGCGCAGCCUGGUGUAACUCAUGUGAGAACAUACCUGCCGAGCCUGGAGAAAGUCAUCCGCUUGUCGAUAAUUGGAAGUUACCUGUUUGAGGACUUUCCAUGGGGCCAAUGCUUUGGCUGAAUCUCACGCAAGAGGUGUUGGGUUAUCCAUGAACACUGUGCCAUUUGGAAGAUGAAAUUUAUAUAUUCCCCUUACCCCGACUUCCUCAUAUAGACCUAUUGAUAGUCACUUCUUGUUUAGGGUUGGGAGGAAUUACAAGAGACCUAGAGACUGGGCCCACUCCAUCCUUACUAGCCUAAUAAUACCUAACAAGUAUAAAACAGUCGUAAGAGGGGAGAAGAGAAUUCUACAUGGGAAAAUGAACCUGUUGGCAGCCCCGUGUCCACA